UUCGUCCCCUCCCAGCUGCAUCUACUUCAUGGCACGUUUCUGCUUAAUACUUUCACCAGAAAGUAUUAAGAGUACUUAAUCAGAAUCACCAUCCAAGAGAUUUCAAAGGGGGGUGCUACUUGCCAUGAUAAUCCAUCAUUAAAUCAAGUCCCACACAGUACAGGAGAAGAGGCAUUUACCAUUUUGUCCUCUAUUCUGUGUUGCCUGGCAGAAGGGAGGUCUUGUCUGCACAGGAUCAAUUAGGGAAAAUGUUUGCCAUGUUUCCUGUGUCUGGUUCGAGUGGCAACUUCAAAACAGCAGAGUUGACUGCACUGAAGACUUUCCACGGAAACAAGAGCAGAUUGUGUUAUUUCUGCUUCCCAUUCAACCAUAGGGGUAUCUCCAAAUAUCAUGCUGUCCAUUUAAUUUCCUCAUAUCUGUGCUGCAGUGAUUUGAAUUGCAUGUGUUAACUUAACUUUCUUCAUCUUUCAGCAACUGCUUUAAGCUCAUGAAGAUUUGGCUACUAGAAAACAGGCAUCAAGUUCUGUCUUGAAAAAUAAGGGAUCCUAAUGUAAGAAGUGACUUCCAGACAUCUUCUCCUUUGGCCUCCCCAGAUGUGACUUAGAAAGAUUUGCUUCCUUGCCUUUAGUUCCCUGGCUAAACUACUUUUUGCUCUCAAACAAAAGAAGCCUUUCAGCCAGAAAUCUGAAAAUCACCUUCCUCUCCUUGCCCAGGGGUUUCUACCAGUAGAAGUUUGUCCGGCAAGGGAUGAACGGAAGAGAAUUCCCUCCCUCCUUUCCCUUCCAAAGAAUUCAAACCACCAAACCCAAAUCCAAAACACAGCGCAAUUGGAUGUGGAUGUGAAAAUGGAUACACUCUCUCAGGAAGAAGGAAGAAUGGUAUCAUCAGUGAAGGAGGGUGUGGAAAUUAACUGUGGCGUUUUUCUGAUUCUCACUGAAGUUAAAAUUGCCUGAAAAAGCAUAGGCAGUUUUUACUUUAUCUUGUUCACCAAAAUCUAUUGAAAAAGCCUCUCAAUUGAGUACUUUAAAAAUACUUUAAAAUUAGUUAAUAAGGGUCAAAAUGAGACCACAUAUAUUAAUAUAUUGAGACCACAUAUAUUAAUAUAAAGACCACAAAAUAAGACCACAUAUAUUAAUAACCAUGGUUAUUUCAGCAGGUACUACACUGGAAAAUAUAAUGAUUUUUUCUUUGCACCUAAACUGGAAGGAUGUUCACUAAAUCAAAAAACAAAUUAUUGUAAAUUUUUUUUGUGAAUAUUUGAGUUAUAGCUAUGAUCUUGUACCAAAGCGUAUUGCAGUCAACCUUGCAGAAGUCACUACAAAAAAUUUGCCACUUCAUUGGUACAUUGUCAUCUUAAUAUCUUAUUUUAGAAAUCUCUUUGCUAUGCAUAGGAUAAAUUGAAAGAGGUAUGUGUUUGCACUAAAUCUGUUUACCAAAAACUCAGGGUAGAAACAUGGUCCUACCAUUUACCUGUACUACUGUCAUCAAAAUUCUCCCCUGAAAUGACUUUUUAUUUCAUCCUGUGGAAGGCAUAAAGAUGAUUAAAUGUAUCAGAAAAAUUGUAUGUAAUAUUAUAAUGGGUAUCCAUUAAUUUUUAUUCCAAUAUUUCUCUAAAUAAUGUGCUAACAUUAUUUAGUGAGAAGUGAGAUGUAUUAAACUCAAUAAUUUAUCCUCA